rnacentral:rRNA from 1 species
AUGGGACAUUUCGCCGGACCCUCCGCCUCCGCCUCCGCCGACGAGGCAUUCUGGACCGCGUGCCCGCACUGCUGCUACACGCACUCCUACCCGCGCCUCUACGUAGGUCGCCGCCUCCGCUGCCCCACCGCUACCUGCCGCCGCGUCUUCUCCGCCGACGAGCUCCCCUCCACGCCGCCCAUCGUCCCCGGCGCCGACAUGUACUUCUGCACCUGGGCCUUCUUCCCGCUCGGUCCUACUGCCGUCGCUGAAGGCUGGGCCCCAUUCACCCCCUUCAACCCCGCCCCCCCUCCCUCCCCCUCCCCCGUCCCAAACCCUACCGCUGCCACCCCCGCCUGUGCCGUUCCAACCCGCGUGAGACCCACCUCCAGGAAGAAGGUUGGCGUGUGCCUCAAGGGUAGGGCCCGUGUCGAGGCGGAGGAGGAAGAGGAAGAAGAGGAGGAGAAGGCAUCCACCGUCGCCAAUCUCAAGGCCGGAGAGGAGGUGCAGGCGGAUUGGCUGACCCUUGGCGACAACGGCGGCAGCAGCGGAAUCAACAUCAACGAGACGGUGGAUCUGAGCGAGCUGGGUUUCCGCGUUGACGAGUCGGGAUUUCUCCAAGAGAUUCCGUGA